CCCAGCCAACGACGCCAUGCCAAAACAGUUCACACCCAUAGAGGAGCAACAACACCUGCCUUUGUAACAGCAGUCAGGAGAUCGCGAUCCGUCCUUGACGGAAUUUCGGAUUUCUGAUGUUGACCAUGGCCAAGUGUCUCUGCCUUCUUGACCCAGUGAGUGGAGUGCUGUGACACCAGGAACGUGCCCAUUAGUCAUAAGGCAGCCCUCCAUUCCAUAGGUUUCCCUGUAACAAGACACCCCCCCCCCCCCCUUCCUUCAAGUUACAGCUGUGCAAGAAUAGUUAGUGUUAAGCUAUGUAAGUCAGUGGAUUGUGUGCUUGAAAGCUAAAUGUAUAGAUAUAUACAUCCACUGUGGGUGCAGGAGAUAUGCUGAUUUUAAAUCAAAUAAAAAGUUGAUGGUAAUUGAA